ensembl:miRNA
GGGCAGCCAGUGAAUAGUUAGCUGGUGCAAAAGUAAUUGCGGUCUUUGAUAUUACUUUCAGUGGCAAAAACUGCAUUACUUUUGCACCAGCCUACUAGAACGCUGAGUUCAG